GAAAUGCGAUAAGUAAUGUGAAUUGCAGAAUUCAGUGAAUCAUCGAAUCUUUGAACGCACAUUGCGCCCGCCAGUAUUCUGGCGGGCAUGCCUGUUCGAGCGUCAUUUCAACCAUCAAGCCCCGCGCUUGUGUUGGGGACCUGCGGCUGCCGCAGGCCCUGAAAACCAGUGGCGGGCUCGCUGUCACACCGGGCGUAGUAGAUUUUAUCUCGCUCAGGGCGUGCUGCGGGUUCCGGCCGUUAAAAAGCCUUUUUUACCCAAGGUUGACCUCGGAUCAGGUAGGAAGACCCGCUGAACUUAAGCA
rnacentral:misc_RNA from 1 species